rnacentral:rRNA from 1 species
CCUACGGGUGGCAGCAGUGAGGAAUAUUGGUCAAUGGGCGCGAGCCUGAACCAGCCAAGUAGCGUGAAGGAUGACUGCCCUACGGGUUGUAAACUUCUUUUAUAAAGGAAUAAAGUGCGGCACGUGUGCCUUUUUGUAUGUACUUUAUGAAUAAGGAUCGGCUAACUCCGUGCCAGCAGCCGCGGUAAUACGGAGGUUCCGAGCGUUAUCCGGAUUUAUUGGGUUUAAAGGGAGCGGAGGUGGGGUGUUAAGUCAGUUGUGAAAGUUUGCGGCUCAACCGUAAAAGUGCAAUUGAUACUGGCAGUCUUGAGUACAGUUGAGGUAGGCGGAAUUCGUGGUGUAGCGGUGAAAUGCGUAGAUAUCACGAAGAACUCGGAUUGCGAAGGCAGCUUACUAAACUGCCACUGACGUUGAUGCUCGAAAGUGUGGGUAGCAAACAGGAUUAGAUACCCGGGUAGUC